UCAGCUUGUUGGUGAGGUAAUGGCUCACCAAGACGACGACGGGUAGCCGGCCUGAGAGGGCGACCGGCCACACUGGGACUGAGACACGGCCCAGACUCCUACGGGAGGCAGCAGUGGGGAAUAUUGCACAAUGGGGGAAACCCUGAUGCAGCGACGCAGCGUGCGGGAUGACGGCCUUCGGGUUGUAAACCGCUUUCAGCAGGGAAGAAGCCCUUCGGGGUGACGGUACCUGCAGAAGAAGUACCGGCUAACUACGUGCCAGCAGCCGCGGUAAUACGUAGGGUACAGGCGUUGUCCGGAAUUAUUGGGCGUAAAGAGCUCGUAGGUGGUUGGUCACGUCUGCUGUGGAAACGCAACGCUUAACGUUGCGCGUGCAGUGGGUACGGGCUGACUAGAGUGCAGUAGGGGAGUCUGGAAUUCCUGGUGUAGCGGUGAAAUGCGCAGAUAUCAGGAGGAACACCGGUGGCGAAGGCGGGACUCUGGGCUGUAACUGACACUGAGGAGCGAAAGCAUGGGGAGCGAACAGGAUUAGAUACCCUGGUAGUCCAUGCCGUAAACGUUGGGCACUAGGUGUGGGGGACAUUCCACGUUCUCCGCGCCGUAGCUAACGCAUUAAGUGCCCCGCCUGGGGAGUACGGUCGCAAGGCUAAAACUCAAAGGAAUUGACGGGGGCCCGCACAAGCGGCGGAGCAUGCGGAUUAAUUCGAUGCAACGCGAAGAACCUUACCAAGGCUUGACAUACACCAGACCGUUCUGGAAACAGUUCCUCCCCUUUGGGGUUGGUGUACAGGUGGUGCAUGGUUGUCGUCAGCUCGUGUCGUGAGAUAUUGGGUUAAGUCCCGCAACGAGCGCAACCCUCGUUCUAUGUUGCCAGCACGUGAUGGUGGGAACUCAUAGGAGGCUGCCGGGGUCAACUCGGAGGAAGGUGGGGAUGACGUCAAAUCAUCAUGCCCUUUAUGUCUUGGGCUUCACGCAUGCUACAAUGGCUGGUACAGAGAGAUGCGAGACCGCGAGGUUUUAGCGAAUCCCUUAAAGCCAGUCUCAGUUCGGAUCGUAGUCUGCAAUUCGACUACGUGAAGUCGGAGUCGCUAGUAAUCGCAGAUCAGCAACGCGCG
rnacentral:rRNA from 1 species